GCCUAUGGCCAAAUCAUCCGGAAUGCACCCGAUCUCAUCAGAUCUCUGGAGUUGAGCUGGAUUGAGCCUGGAUAGUCCUUGAAUCGGUGACUGCCUAUGCAUACUACGGGUUGUUAGAGGCU
rnacentral:rRNA from 1 species